rnacentral:tRNA from 1 species
GACUUAAAAUCCGUCGAUUUUAGGAAUCGUGAGG